rnacentral:rRNA from 1 species
AUUGAACGCUGGCGGCAGGCUUAACACAUGCAAGUCGAGCGGAGCGGGGGACGGGUGAGGAAUGGCUAGGAAUCUGCAUGGUAGUGGGGGAGAACGUUCGGAAACGGGCGCUAAUACCGCAUACUAUCAGAUGAGCCUAGGUCGGAUUAGCUAGUUGGUGGGGUAAAGGCCCACCAAGGCGACGAUCCGUAGCUGGUCUGAGAGGAUGAUCAGUCACACUGGAACUGAGACACGGUCCAGACUCCUACGGGAGGCAGCAGUGGGGAAUAUUGGGCAAUGGGCGAAAGCCUGAUCCAGCCAUGCCGCGUGUGUGAAGAAGGUCUUCGGAUUGUAAAGCACUUUAAGUUGGGAGGCGUUACCAACAGAAGAAGCACCGGCUAACUCCGUGCCAGCAGCCGCGGUAAUUC